GCCUACGGGACGCAGCAGUGGGGAAUAUUGCCCAAUGGGGGAAACCCUGAUGCAGCGACGCCGCGUGAGUGAAGAAGUAUUUCGGUAUGUAAAGCUCUAUCAGCAGGGAAGAUAAUGACGGUACCUGACUACGACGCUCCGGCUACAUACGUGCCAGCAGCCGCGGCACUACGUAUGGAGCAAGCGUUAUCCGGAUUUACUGGGCGUAAAGGGAGCGCAUACGGCAAGGCAAGUCUGAUGUGAAA
rnacentral:rRNA from 1 species